rnacentral:rRNA from 1 species
GACUAACGCUGGCGGCAUGCCUAACACAUGCAAGUCGAACGAGACCUUCGGGUCUAGCGGCGCACGGGUGCGUAACGCGUGGGAAUCUGCCCUUAGGUACGGAAUAACUCAGGGAAACUUGAGCUAAUACCGUAUAAUGACUCCGGUCCAAAGAUUUAUCGCCUAAGGAUGAGCCCGCGUCGGAUUAGCUAGUUGGUGAGGUAAAAGCUCACCAAGGCGACGAUCCGUAGCUGGCUGAGAGGAUGAUCAGCCACACUGGGACUGAGACACGGCCCAGACUCCUACGGGAGGCAGCAGUGGGGAAUAUUGGACAAUGGGCGAAAGCCUGAUCCAGCAAUGCCGCGUGAGUGAUGAAGGCCUUAGGGUUGUAAAGCACUUUCAG